AUGCCUACGCCCGCUGGGCUCCCCGGGGGCGGCCGCAACGCCCGCCCCAGCUGGGGCGAUCCACAGGAAGGGCCCGGCUCGCGUCCAGAGUCGCCGCCGCCGCCGCCGGCCCCCGGGUGCCCGGGCGGUCCCCACGCGGGGGAAAGCGCCGCCGCCCCGCCUCCCGCCCCCCGCCGCCCCGCCCCUGGAGGGGAGGAACGGGGGAGGGAGGGAAGAGGAGAGCGGGCGGAGGGGGGUCGUGCGGGGCGGGGGUGGGGCGGGGACGGGCCCGCGCGGCGGCCCGGGGCGUGGGGAGGGCGGCGGCGCCUCGUCCACCCGCGGCGCGGGCCCAGCCCCGCUUCGCGCCCCAGCACGACUGACCCAGCCCUUAGAGCCAAUCCUUAUCCCGAAGUUAUGGAUCUGGCUUGCCAUCUGAGUUUACCACCCUCUUUGGGCUGCAUUCCCAAGCAACCCGACUCCGGGAAGGCCCGGACCCGGCACGCCGGGGCUGCUACCAGCCUCACACCGUCCACGGGCUGGGCCUCGAUCAGAAGGACUUGUGCCCCCCACGAGCGGCGCCGGGGAGUGGGCCUUCUGUAUGCCACAUUUCCCGUGCCCCACCGGGGGGCGGGGAUUCGGCGCUGGGCUCUUCCCUGUUCACUCGCCGUUACUGAGGGAAUCCUGGUUAGUUUCUUUUCCUCCGCUGACUACUAUGCUUAUAUUCAGUGGGUCACCACGUCUCAUCUGAGGUCGCGUCUCAGAAGGCAGCGGUGGCCAGGCGCCUGGCGGACUAGGCGAGGUGAGGCGAUGCAGGGCGGGAAGGGAGGCGAGCGGGGCAGACCCGCGCGCCGACCCGCUCCCGCGGUGAUCGCUAGCUCGCUUGCCCGCCCACACGUGAGCACACGUGCACGCAAGGGAAGCCCGCCAGCGAGGCGGGGGAGCGACAAGCGCCACGGAGGAGACGCUGGGCACGCGAGGCCACGGCCGACGCCCGCCAGGCCUUCCCCGGACCGACCCGAAGGAGGGCGGGCGGAGACGCGGGCGGGCGGACGGGGGCACGAGCGGGCGGCACGGGCGAGGGGCCCCACCGGGGAGGAGCGGGGCGGAGUGGGACGCCGCCACGCGCUCGGCGGACGCGUCGUGGCGACGCGGAGAGGAGACAGCGGAGGGGCGGCGGGCGCGGUGGGGCGCGCCUCCCGACACCCGCCCCCUCCGCGAGCCGCCAUGGCCCGUCGGGCGGCUGACGCGGCGCCAGCCCGGGGCUCGUGGCACACGGCGCGGCGGGGCCACGACCCAGGGGAGGGCGCGCGGCGGCGGACGAUGCCGUAG
rnacentral:lncRNA from 1 species